CAAAUUUCCUGGGCAGUUAAAAACUUGGGUUAGUCUUGUUGGUGGUAACCCUUAAACAUCUGAUUUUGAAUGUUAUAAGAAGAAGAGAAUUUGUGAUAUACAAUUUUCUGACAGACACAGAAAUCGUAAUAAACGGCUAAGCACAUUGGCAGUUCCGAUGCUUCAUCUGCCUGGACAACUACAGAGUCAAGUAAUCUUAGGACAAGCUUCAUCCACACAACAUUUACUGCCUACAAUAAUACAGCAAGGCUGUUCAGAGCCAUAUGUGAGCAACUUUAUUUUAGAAAAAGCAUCAACUUCAACAACAUUCCAACCUGUGGCUGCAGGUAAAAUUCACAUAUUUUUUUCA